UCUUCCCCUGCCUGUGGAGUCUGCACAACAGAUUUGUGCCCUCCCAUGAGUUCUGGCCAGGAGGCUUCUCGCCCUGUUCAAAUUGUUACAAAGUUCAACUAUAGAUUUCUUUCUUCCUGUGGAGUUUCAACACCUGCUCCUCUGGCCACCCUCACAAUGGAUCCCUGUGGUGCCAAGCAGGAAUGGCCUGUUUGGGCACCCAGUGAGCUCCCAGGGCCUUUCUACUGCUUCCUCAAACCCUGUAUUUUGCUCAGCUCUCUAAAUGGAUUCAACUCCAGAGAAGAGACCUGGAACCAAACCCAGAACUUCACUUCCCUGUGCCAGAAGGAUUCCAGUGAGCUUUUCCCACAGGCCCUACAGUCUUCUCCAGGUGAACCUCGGUCACUAUCUAUAUUUAUUAAUGGUUUCUGUCCUGUAAAUAUCUUCUAUAAUAAAAGAU
rnacentral:lncRNA from 1 species